GACGUAGGUGGCGAACGUUAUCCGGAAUUAUUGGGCGUAAAGGGUGCGUAGAUGGCCUGAUAAGUUAGCAGUGGGAAAUCGAGGCUCAACCUCGUGGAAGCUGGUAAUACUGUCAGGCUCGAGUGCAGGAGAGGUUAACGGAACUCCAUGUGGAGCGGUAAAAUGUGUAGAUAUAUGGAAGAACACCAAUAACGGCGAAGGCAGUAACUAUUCUGUUACUGACAUUGAGGCACGAAAGCGUGGGGAGCAAACGG
rnacentral:rRNA from 1 species